AUCAAAAUCAUCGUAAAGACUUCAUCAUUAAUGUUUGAGGAACUAAACUACUUGUAAUUUCAGUCGUGUCCACUGUGCCCGUUUUACCACUAAGCUGCUGUCACUGUUGUAGAGAAACAGACGAAUAAGAAAAAAAAAGCGAAGAAGAAACGGUCGCCAUGUUGGUUCACCUAGGACAAGUUCACGUGCGGCAGUUGUGACGGCAGUUUUUAAUUCCACUUACCUCCGGAUUGUCGAUCCAGCGUGCUUCUGCUGCAGCAUUCAACCGAGAUGAAGUGGGAACUACCAAAGCUUCAGUUAUUUUGUUACACUAUGUGGAAUUUCAUGAAGGAGACUGUUCUGAGGAGAUACCAGCGUAACAGAGUUUUACAAGACAGGGCAAGCAGAGGCGUCUCCUGGACUUCCUGAGCUCGAACUUGUGCCAACUCGUGUACUGGAGAACUACAGGUCCCUCCUCCUCUAUUUUGGGUGGGGAGGUGAGAUGAGGAGGGGGUCAACGAGAAAGAGAUGAAGGACAAGAGUUUCUCCAUUCCACCAGUCCUGCUGGUCCUCAGUCUCCCCUGUUCGACCUCAUCACUCAAUCUUCGUUUAGCCCCUGACAUGUUUUAGCCAAGCACUCCUGAGCUAAUUUAUGUCUGUAAAGACAAGCUUGGCAAAGGGGAGCUUCCAGUAAAAGGCCACUGCCUGAGCCAUUGACCCACACUGCGGCAAAGUGGCUAAUUUAAUUUCUUUUAGAUGGGAGAAGGAAGCAGUAAUGUCUCUAUUACCACAAGGGGGGGGGGGGG
ensembl:lncRNA